rnacentral:misc_RNA from 1 species
UAGGACAGAGGGCAUCGGUGUACCCUGCGAUAGACGCGCACCACCACCGCCGCCCCUCUACAACACACUCACACACAAACACACACACACACACACACACUCUGUGUGUGUGUGCAACACCCUGGUAAGGUGGCCCACUACCGGCCUAGUCGCCUACACUAGCAAGACGUAGGCACGCCCAGUCGUGCGCCUCUCAGCCUCUCCCGCCUUUUCCUUUUGCUCUCCGGCCCUGCUCGUCCAUACGACGAGGACGGUCCUCUGAAGCAUAGACGUCUGCGUGGGAGACCCCGUGACACACACGGCAGCGUUAACGAAGGGGGCUGCUGGCAAUGGAGACUGGCCGUCGCCGCCAGGUGCGCAAUGCGCGCCGGCUGCGGCGUCAUCAGCGCAGUGGGGCCGAUGGCAACGAUGCCCAGGAGAGGUGCACCGGCUCGGCCGCUGACAGUGGCCGCUCUAUUCCGCCACCACCCAGCUCUGCCCCAGGUGUGAUGAUGGGCGCUGGCGCAGCGGCAUCUGGAGCUGUUGGUCACCGUACCUCGGUCGUCGCGAGCCGCGACGAGGCGCAGCGACUCUCCGAGCGUAUGAAGCAACAACGACAAGUGAAGAGCCGCGCGGAUCAGAUACUGUCGCAGCGCGAAGCGCUCAUCCGGGAGCGGUACGCGCCAAACGCGGUCGCCGCCACAGCUCAGUGGCAGUCGCAGCAGCAGCAGCAGCAAGCCUCUGCCUACGCUUUCGACAAGGAUGACUUGCUCGCAAACCUUAUCGGCGAGAGCAGAGCGAACUUCCUCAAGCUGGACCACGACCUGACGGAAGACCACACGAUUGCCACGCAUCGGCUGCACACCUCCGUCUUUUCCCACGCGAAGAGCUUCUUGCUUCUGUUCCGCGACGUCGACCGUGCCAGUGACCUCGUUGAAGCCCUCAAGGCCAACGUGCAGGGCACGAAGGCCGCAAUCUCCAGUAUCAGCAAGUACUCUGCGAACUUCGUGGCUGGUGGGUCGAUGUCUUCGGCAGACAAGCUGCCUGGCUCCGCCACCGCCGACGUGCGUGGUUGCAGUGCUGGAAGUGGCAGCGUGUUCAGCGCAGCGCUCGGCGGAACCCCUAGCGAUGGCGAUCCGCGACGGUUCGCACGACCGAGUCUCGUAUCUCGCCGCAUCACGCAGCGCUACGCCUCGGGCGGCAGCAGCGAUAUGGCGUGGCUGAAUGACGGUGAUGCCGGCUUCGGCUGGGGCACCGGAGGCACCGCCAAUACCGGCCCGUCGGCCGCCGCCAGGUCCAGCCGCACCACAACGUGGGCCUCGACGGUGCAUCGCAGCGGCGUGGCGGACGAGGAGGGAGCGGCGGCCGACGGUGGCGCGGAUGCCGUGACCACAAAUGCAGGCGCCUCGCGGCCGACGACGCGCGGGCUGAACGUCUCUUCGGUGCGACAGUGGAGAUACACAAUCGGUAUGGGGACCGGCCUCGCCGCUAGGGGCAGUGCCGGUGACCGCGAGGCGGCGGAGAGCAGACUCACAGCUCCCGGGCGACAGCUGCGAGGUGGGUCUGGGCUGAGGGCUAAGUCCCGCGCAUCGACGGGGCACACCACCACCGCUGCCAGGUCAGAAAAGGAAGCCGCCGACACCACCGCCUUCGUGGACAUCCUGCGCGAGGAGGUGAACCAGCUCCUUACGGAGCGGCGUCAUGUCGACGCCGCGGAACUGCUGUACCGCCUUGCCGACGAGGCGAAGGCGAAGGGGUGCGUGCCGUUCCUGCUGGACCUCGAGGCGGCCCUCGUCAGCAGCGUUAUCACGAACGUUGUCAAGAUUCCAAUCACGCCCAUGUACGUUGAGAGCCUGCACGUGCCGCUGAUUCAGCUGCUCCUCCGCUUCGGCCGCUCCCGCAGCGCGGCUGCCGUGUACCUGACGAUGCAUACAUCGUGGCUGCAUAGCGAGGUGCAGAGAUUGCAGUCGCGCGUGGACCCACAGUACGCCAGCCUCAUCGCCGUUGACUUUCUUGUGCGAGCGACACGGGCGACGGUGCGGCGGCAGCGCACCCUCGGCCUUGCCCUUGCAGCGGCGCGGCCUUUCAUGGAGGACGGUGGCGCCGGCACGGCCGGAGCGGCUGCGGCGGGCAAAACGGACGGAAGGCGACCUGCCGCUGGAGCCAGCCGCGCCACCGCCAGUGAUGCUGCUGGUGCUGUCACAACGCAGAAGCCUGCGCCGCCGAGGGGGGCGACGGCCGCUUCGCCCGGAUCGUGGAUCCCGCCGAACUCGGCUGUGCUGUUGUGGGUGCGCCGCAACGUGGAGCGCUUUGCGUGCGACGUGCUGGCGACGCACCUGCUGAGCUUCGGCAGCGGCACGGACGGCGGCGACCCGACUCGCAUCCGUCAGGCGGCGCAGAUGAUGGCGCAAACUUCCCGCGUGAUGCAGACGCUCAGCAGCGACGGAUUCGCCGGCUGCGACACCCUCAUCAUGCGGCAGCUGACGCCGAGCCUGGUCAUCCUCGAGGACGACUUCACGCGGCUGACCGGGGAGCGGGUGGAGCACGGCGGGCGGGCGAUGAUGGAGCAGCUGAUCAUGGGCAGCCUUGCCUUCUACGAGACGCACGCGGCGAACACGGCGGCCACCGCGACGGCCGCGACGACUGCUGCUACCACGACCGCAGACGUGAAGGCGGCGACAGCAACGCCGCCGCUGUCGCCGAUGCCGGUGCAAUCAGUCUCCCGACUCUGCACGCCUCCCUAUCAGCCCUCCCGCUGCGAUGACGUCGCUCGAAAGGUGCGGGUGCAUUGCCAAGGGCUGGUGCAGCUGAUUCGGUCCCUCCCGCUCUCUGGCCAUUCGCUGCUGGUCCAGUUGCUGCUGGCGCCUGCCUCGUCCUCUUUGUUCAAGAACGUGACCUCAGCUGGCAGCGCAGCGCAGGGCACAUCGUCGCCGUCGAGGCCCGGGCCGGCGACACGGAGCUGCGGGUCCGCCUCCGGCGCGACUGGCGGUGCAGCCGCCUAUCGCACGGGUGGUGGCUGUGGCGCGACGGCGCUGCUCAGCAAGGCUGGCGCGACCUCUGCGGCGCCACCCGCCGCCUCCCUCACCACCCCUCUGUUCUCCACGGCACCGCCGCCGCCGCUGUCGUCGGAGCGCUUCCGGUUCCUGCGCUACGCAAACGGCUGCUCCAGCACGCACGUGCGCCUGUUGCAGUCCUUGUGUGGCUACGUGGCCGCGCUGACGGGGACGGACCAGCUGCCCGCGGAGGUCAUGGCAUCUGCGGCGGCGCAGGAGCAGGAGAGCACCAACUCGGCCGCAGCUAUGGCGAUGCGGAUGCAGCAGGCAGAGUGCGUAGCGUACCUGCUCACGAGCGCGGUAGUGACGGAGUCGAUCGAUGUCGUGCUCUGCAACUUGCUCUCGCACAUGAUGGCGGUACUUCUGCGCCAACGUAAGGCGCUCGUGCGGUUCCUGUCGUCGGAGACGUUCCUGACGAACCACCGCCGUGCCUUUCCAUCGGCGGCCGCGAAGUCAGCCGUGCCCGACGCGCCGUUCUUCUCCGACCCUGCCUCGUCACCGGCGUGGGUGCUGGAUAGCACGCUGUGCCUGCUCUCAGACGUACUCGGCCUCGGUGCGUGGGUGUCGUUCUUCACCAGAGGCGGGGCGAUGGCGCAUAUGCUGGCCGACGCGCAGUUCGGCUUCCGCACGCAGCACUUGGAGCGUGUGCAGUGGGAGAUGCCGCGACUUGUGCAGGGGUGGAUGUGUGCGGCGCUGCUGCUCAACGCCGAUGUGACUCGCGCCAAUACCGUGCUCGCCCCGCCGACGACGUCGGUAAAGGCUUCGGCGCCAUCCACGGCGCCCGGGCGGGGCUCGUCGGUUCCUACACCGCUCUUUUCACCGCAGCAAAGCAUCCUGUUUGGCUCGCAGCCGCCAGACCGCGUCGAUGGCCGGCCGCCGACGCUGUGGUCGAAGAGCAGCGUCUCGUUUUCUGCAGUUGCCGCCGCCGCCGCAACGGCAGCCGGGGCGACAGCGGCCGCUGCGGCAAAGAAGGCGAGCAAGGCCGGCGCAGACGCGGCCUCGGUGCUGCUCUCUAUUCCCAUCACGUCGCCUUCAGCCACGUCGCUGUCCGCAGCGACAGCUGACAAGAGGGAAACCAUCACUGCCCCGUUCUUCGCUGACGCCGGCGUCCGGGAGGAGCGGGUGCUGAAGCUCAUCAUGGCGUUUCUUAAUCGCAAGUACUCUACCCCCGCCGGCUACAUGGUGCACCGCUACGUUGUCGACUCGGCCAAUGCGUCGUCCAACGGGAGCGCGAGCGCCGGGCUGAACGGUGUGUGGGCGAUUCGCAGUCGGCUGAGCAGCUACCCCGAGUUCCCGAUCGGCGAGAUGCGCGAGCACCGCGGCGACGAGGUAUUUCUGUUUCACUGGUGCGUGCAGGUCUCGCUGCACCUGCUCACCUUCUUCCAGGAGCGCCUUAUCACGCCGAGUUACGUGAUGAACCAGCGCGCAGCAGAGGUGCAGGGCGGCAUGACGUCCUUUCUGAAUGCUGGGCUGCCCUUCCCUUUGAAAGGCUGCAUCACGCCGCAGGAGGACACUGUACUUGCCGGGUGGUGCGCCGGCGGUGGCAACUACGUGACAGCUGUGGCACUGUUGCAGUUUUUAGUGAUGCGGGUGCUGCGCGACGGUCUUUGCCGUGCUGACACGUGGUCGGCGGUGUACGGCUGCCCCAUGGCGCAGUGGCGCAGCGACGAGGCGGUGCUGCGGCAGCAGCUCUUCUUCUUCUCGCUCUUCGCUUACCUGUGGGCGCCGCUGUUUACUGGCGGUCGCACACCGCGAGCGCGCGCAGCCGCGGCCGGCUCGUCUCCGGCCAAGGAGGAGGCGCCGGUGAGUUCGUAUGUGGUGGACGGUCUUCCCUCGCUGGCGGUGCUGGAGUGGAUGACGUGCGGUGGGGUGCUCAACCCUUCGACGAACGCGGAUUCCGUUGCUGCAGCGAUGGCGUCUGCCGCGCUCGCCACUAUACCGGCCAACCUCACUGCCGUGGAUGUGCUGUUUGCCACAGAGGGCACCAUCCACAUGUCAUCGGGAGGCGACGAAGGCGCGGGUGCUGGUGCUGCGUGCGCUGCUCACUCUGCAACUGGCGGUGGUGCGGCGUCAUGGAGGGCUAAGGCGGCCGGCAGAGGUACCACAGCGCCGGCGGCGGUGACAGGUGCAUCGGUCGCCUCGCCGGCAACGCCCACCAACGCGAUGCUGGCAAAGCGCGAGCUCUUCGGCUCAUGCGCUUCCUACAUUCCAGAUGGCCCGUUGCGGGUGCUUCGACACUUUUUCGAGGAGCAGCUGGGCGAAAGUCGCGCCGCUCGCGCCAUCACGUCGGAUGUCAUGCGCACCCGCGUCGAGCGAGCCAUGGCGGAGAUCAACCUACUUGACUUUGUCGGCACAUCGCUCGGCGUGGGCGACGAGGGGGAGAGCGAGGAUGAAGCCACUUCAUCGACGGCGACCCGCUCCACCGCAGGCGCCGGUUCAGCGAACAGGAUGUCGCCGUCGUCGCAGAAGGUGACCUUGCAGAACUUGCGAGACUUGAUUGCCGUGUACACAGUGCCGCUUUCUUAGCCGCACAGCGGCAGUCGAUGCGCUGCUGUAGUUUGUGUGGCUGUGCACCCCAUAAUGGCAGCAGCUUGCUUGCGUGAGUCUUUGUGUCAAAGCCUUUUCUUUGUCUUCGCCCCACUUUCGCC